GACGGGGGGGGCAAGCGUUGUUCGGAAUUAUUGGGCGUAAAAGGGGCUCGUAGGCGGAUCCGCCAGUCUGACGUGAAAUCUCCACCGCUCACCGGGGAGAGGUCGUUGGAUACUACGGAUCUGGAGUUCGGCAGAGGACCAUGGAAUUUCGGGUGUAGCGGUGGAAUGCGUAGAUAUCCGAAAGAACACCGGUGGCGAAGGCGGUGGUCGUGGGCCUGAACUGACGCUGAGGAGCGAAAGCCAGGGGAGCAAAGCGGG
rnacentral:rRNA from 1 species